CCUACGGGAGGCAGCAGUAGGGAAUAUUGCUCAAUGGGGGAAACCCUGAAGCAGCAACGCCGCGUGGAGGAUGAAGGUUUUCGGAUUGUAAACUCCUUUUGUUAGAGAAGAUAAUGACGGUAUCUAACGAAUAAGCACCGGCUAACUCCGUGCCAGCAGCCGCGGGAAUACGGAGGGUGCAAGCGUUACUCGGAAUCACUGGGCGUAAAGAGCGCGUAGGCGGGAUAGCAAGUCAGAUGUGAAAUCCUAUGGCUUAACCAUAGAACUGCAUUUGAAACUGUUAGUCUAGAGUAUGGGAGAGGUAGGUGGAAUUCUUGGUGUAGGGGUAAAAUCCGUAGAGAUCAAGAAGAAUACUCAUUGCGAAGGCGACCUGCUAGAACAUAACUGACGCUGAUGCGCGAAAGCGUGGGGAGCAAACAGGAUUAGAUACCCGAGUAGUC
rnacentral:rRNA from 1 species